UCCGAUAGCAAACAAGUACCGUGAGGGAAAGUUGAAAAGUACUUUGAAGAGAGAGUAAACAGUGCGUGAAGCCGCUCAGAGGUAAACGGGUGGAGUUGAACUGUGAUCUCUGUGGAUUUAGCUGGUGAGAAUGGUUUGAGCUUGGUCAAAUUGGUUGAGACCGGGAAUCUGCGUAGCAGCAGGUCCUUGCCUUCGGGUGGGGAUGCGCGAUACACUUAUCAGGUGUUGUGCGUUCCAUGUUUUUCGUGCCAGCUCGCCAGUGCACUUUCGCAGAGUGUUCACCACGACCGGCAUCGCUGUCUGGCUGUUGUGGUUAAACCGGCCUUUCAUUGUCCUCGUGGCUUUGGAUUGUCGGGAUGGCAGGUAGCUCGUUGGCUAGGCUUGUGGCUUGCUGCAGGCUUUUGGCUCUCGGGUGUAAUUGGCUGACCAUAUCGGCACUGUGCAGUAUGUCGGAGACGGCGGCUUGUGGUGUGUGCGUUCGUGCCAGUUGGUUGGCGUUUCCGGGUUUGGUUGUUAUGUUGCCUGUGUUUGCAGGCCUGAUGA
rnacentral:rRNA from 1 species